rnacentral:SRP_RNA from 1 species
GCUGGGCGUGGUGGCGCAUGCCUGUAAUCCCAGCUACUCGGGAGGCUGAGGCAGGAGAAUCGCUUGAACCCGGGAGGUGGAGUUUGCAGUGAGCCGAGAUCACGCCAUUGCACUCCAACCUGGGCAACAAGAGUGAAACUCUGUCUCAAAAAAAAGUAAAAAAAAGAAAAUUAGCCGGGCGUGGUGGCAGGUGCCUGUAGUCCCAGCUACUGGGGAGGCUGAGACAGGAGAAUCGCUUGUACCCGGGAAGUGGAGGUUGCAGUGAGCCGAGAUCGCUCCACUGCACUCCAGCCUGGGUGACAAAGUGAGACUCUGUCUCGC